rnacentral:rRNA from 1 species
UAACAACAGAUGAUGCCUAUCUAACUGUUUUAAAAAAGUAAUGGUUUCUGUCUAUCACUCUUGGGAUGGACCUGCGGUGCAUUAGCUAGUUGGUAGGGUAACGGCCUACCAAGGCGAUGAUGCAUAGCCGAGUUGAGAGACUGAUCGGCCACAUUGGGACUGAGACACGGCCCAAACUCCUACGGGAGGCAGCAGUAGGGAAUCUUCCACAAUGGACGCAAGUCUGAUGGAGCAACGCCGCGUGAGUGAAGAAGGGUUUCGGCUCGUAAAGCUCUGUUGUUGGUGAAGAAGGACAGGGGUAGUAACUGACCUUUGUUUGACGGUAAUCAAUUAGAAAGUCACGGCUAACUACGUGCCAGCAGCCGCGGUAAAU